rnacentral:rRNA from 1 species
GCAGCAGUGAGGAAUAUUGGACAAUGGGCGCAAGCCUGAUCCAGCCAUGCCGCGUGCAGGAUGACGGUCCUAUGGAUUGUAAACUGCUUUUAUACGAGAAGAAACACUCCAACGUGUUGGAGCUUGACGGUAUCGUAAGAAUAAGGAUCGGCUAACUCCGUGCCAGCAGCCGCGGUAAUACGGAGGAUCCAAGCGUUAUCCGGAAUCAUUGGGUUUAAAGGGUCCGUAGGCGGUUUGGUAAGUCAGUGGUGAAAGCCCAUCGCUCAACGGUGGAACGGCCAUUGAUACUGCCAGACUUGAAUUAUUAGGAAGUAACUAGAAUAUGUAGUGUAGCGGUGAAAUGCUUAGAGAUUACAUGGAAUACCAAUUGCGAAGGCAGGUUACUACUAAUGGAUUGACGCUGAUGGACGAAAGCGUGGGUAGCGAACAGGAUUAGAUAC